rnacentral:rRNA from 1 species
GAUGAACGCUGGCGGCGUGCCUAAUACAUGCAAGUCGAGCGAACAGACGAGGAGCUUGCUCCUCUGACGUUAGCGGCGGACGGGUGAGUAACACGUGGAUAACCUACCUAUCAUACUGGGAUAACUUCGGGAAACCGGAGCUAAUACCGGAUAAUAUCUUGAACCGCAUGGUUCAAUAGUGAAAUACGGUUUUUCUGUCUCUUAUAGCUGGUUCCGCGCCGCAUUAGCUAGUUGGUAAGGUAACGGCUUACCAAGGCAACGAUGCGUAGCCGACCUGAGAGGGUGAUGGGCGACACUGGAGCUGAGACACGGUCCAGACACCGACGGGAGGCAGCAGCAGGUAAUGGAGCGAGAAGGGCGAAAGCUUGACGGAGCAACGGCGCGUGAGUGAAGAAGGUCUGCGGAUCGGAAAACGCUGUUAUGAGGGAAGAACAAAUGUGUAAGUAACGAUGCGCGUCUUGACGGUACCGAAUCAGAAAGCCACGGCUAAUUACGU